rnacentral:rRNA from 1 species
UGCGUAGGUGGCAUGGUAAGUCAGAUGUGAAAACUUGGGGCUCAACUUCAAGAUUGCAUCUGAAACUACUAAGCUAGAGUGCAGGAGAGGAAAGCGGAAUUCCGAGUGUAGCGGUGAAAUGCGUAGAUAUUCGGAGGAACACCAGUAGCGAAGGCGGCUUUCUGGACUGUAACUGACACUGAGGCACGAAAGCGUGGGGAGCGAACA